UUUCCGGGUUGGACUCCGUUUCUCACAGGCCUUGGGGGGAUUCAUGAACUUCGGCCUCUGGUUCUUUUUCCGCUAGCCUUGUGGUCAUCGAUUUCCGUGCGUUCUCACCUCUGUAGUCUCUGUGCUUCUCCAGGAGGGAAACCCCGAAGAGUACUGACAGGUUCUCAACCAUUUUAAACCAUGGCUUUGGAAUGGGGAACAUUCAGGAAAGCGGCCCUAGAGUUCACUCAGGAGGAGUGGAAUAUCUGGGGUUCUGCUCUGAGGGAACUGUACUGGGAUGUGAUGAUGGAAAACAGCAACUUAGUCUUACUGGAAUGGAGACGUGUAAAUAGGACAAAGCACUCCUGGGAUAUGACUACGAGGGAGAGAUCGAGAAAUAUGAUCCAUAAGGGUGAGCUGGAGAUGGAAGAAAGGACACAGUGUAACACGGGGACCUCCCUUCUUGCCAUAUAGUAAUAUUAUAAUCUAUUGAUUUUACAUCUAUGUUUACUCACUAGAAAACCAAGGUCUGUGGACAUAAUAAAGUCUUCUUGUAUGGGCUCUCCUAAGCACUCAAUACUUAGACUGUCUAGACAAGAAAGGUUCAUUCAAGGAAUAUAUGCUUAUUUAAUUCAAGAGAAUGUAUUUCCAUUUGUGGGCAUGAGAAAGGAGAUGCUGAGCGAAACAUGCAAUUAG